rnacentral:lncRNA from 1 species
UGCUCUUCAUGGGCGUCGACGAUUCCGUUCCUCCUUAGUCCUGACACGCCAAGGAGGCAAAUAGGCUACAAAGCAGCUAGGGGUAGGCGCGCUUCAGCUCGACGCGGGAAGGGGAGAGAUGGGCGUCGCAGGCUCCGGUGCAGCACUGGGGACAGGGGAGGCGAUGCAGUUGAGGGGGGGGGGGGGGCGACCUCGCGCGUUGCGCAGCGUGGGAGAGGGAAAGAUGCAGCGCCGUGGGAGGAGAUGAUGCAGAUGCUGCGUAAGCAAAUCGACUGGAAAUAUCGUUGGACGUUUGAUUUUGAUCCAACGGAUAACAGUGCUAUCUGUGACUAUGAGGUGGAGCAAAGGGAGGUGAUUGGAUAA